rnacentral:rRNA from 2 species
GUACACAAAAAUGCACAUGCUGUGAGCUCGAUGAGUAGGGCGGGACACGUGGUAUCCUGUCUGAAUAUGGGGGGACCAUCCUCCAAGGCUAAAUACUCCUGACUGACCGAUAGUGAACCAGUACCGUGAGGGAAAGGCGAAAAGAACCCCGGCGAGGGGAGUGAAAAAGAACCUGAAACCGUGUACGUACAAGCAGUGGGAGCACGCUUAGGCGUGUGACUGCGUACCUUUUGUAUAAUGGGUCAGCGACUUAUAUUCUGUAGCAAGGUUAACCGAAUAGGGGAGCCGAAGGGAAACCGAGUCUUAACUGGGCGUUAAGUUGCAGGGUAUAGACCCGAAACCCGGUGAUCUAGCCAUGGGCAGGUUGAAGGUUGGGUAACACUAACUGGAGGACCGAACCGACUAAUGUUGAAAAAUUAGCGGAUGACUUGUGGCUGGGGGUGAAAGGCCAAUCAAACCGGGAGAUAGCUGGUUCUCCCCGAAAGCUAUUUAGGUAGCGCCUCGUGAAUUCAUCUCCGGGGGUAGAGCACUGUUUCGGCAAGGGGGUCAUCCCGACUUACCAACCCGAUGCAAACUGCGAAUACCGGAGAAUGUUAUCACGGGAGACACACGGCGGGUGCUAACGUCCGUCGUGAAGAGGGAAACAACCCAGACCGCCAGCUAAGGUCCCAAAGUCAUGGUUAAGUGGGAAACGAUGUGGGAAGGCCCAGACAGCCAGGAUGUUGGCUUAGAAGCAGCCAUCAUUUAAAGAAAGCGUAAUAGCUCACUGGUCGAGUCGGCCUGCGCGGAAGAUGUAACGGGGCUAAACCAUGCACCGAAGCUGCGGCAGCGACGCUUAUGCGUUGUUGGGUAGGGGAGCGUUCUGUAAGCCUGUGAAGGUGUACUGUGAGGUAUGCUGGAGGUAUCAGAAGUGCGAAUGCUGACAUAAGUAACGAUAAAGCGGGUGAAAAGCCCGCUCGCCGGAAGACCAAGGGUUCCUGUCCAACGUUAAUCGGGGCAGGGUGAGUCGACCCCUAAGGCGAGGCCGAAAGGCGUAGUCGAUGGGAAACAGGUUAAUAUUCCUGUACUUGGUGUUACUGCGAAGGGGGGACGGAGAAGGCUAUGUUGGCCGGGCGACGGUUGUCCCGGUUUAAGCGUGUAGGCUGGUUUUCCAGGCAAAUCCGGAAAAUCAAGGCUGAGGCGUGAUGACGAGGCACUACGGUGCUGAAGCAACAAAUGCCCUGCUUCCAGGAAAAGCCUCUAAGCAUCAGGUAACAUCAAAUCGUACCCCAAACCGACACAGGUGGUCAGGUAGAGAAUACCAAGGCGCUUGAGAGAACUCGGGUGAAGGAACUAGGCAAAAUGGUGCCGUAACUUCGGGAGAAGGCACGCUGAUAUGUAGGUGAAGCGACUUGCUCGUGGAGCUGAAAUCAGUCGAAGAUACCAGCUGGCUGCAACUGUUUAUUAAAAACACAGCACUGUGCAAACACGAAAGUGGACGUAUACGGUGUGACGCCUGCCCGGUGCCGGAAGGUUAAUUGAUGGGGUCAGCGCAAGCGAAGCUCUUGAUCGAAGCCCCGGUAAACGGCGGCCGUAACUAUAACGGUCCUAAGGUAGCGAAAUUCCUUGUCGGGUAAGUUCCGACCUGCACGAAUGGCGUAAUGAUGGCCAGGCUGUCUCCACCCGAGACUCAGUGAAAUUGAACUCGCUGUGAAGAUGCAGUGUACCCGCGGCAAGACGGAAAGACCCCGUGAACCUUUACUAUAGCUUGACACUGAACAUUGAGCCUUGAUGUGUAGGAUAGGUGGGAGGCUUGGAAGUGUGGACGCCAGUCUGCAUGGAGCCGACCUUGAAAUACCACCCUUUAAUGUUUGAUGUUCUAACGUUGACCCGUAAUCCGGGUUGCGGACAGUGUCUGGUGGGUAGUUUGACUGGGGCGGUCUCCUCCUAAAGAGUAACGGAGGAGCACGAAGGUUGGCUAAUCCUGGUCGGACAUCAGGAGGUUAGUGCAAUGGCAUAAGCCAGCUUGACUGCGAGCGUGACGGCGCGAGCAGGUGCGAAAGCAGGUCAUAGUGAUCCGGUGGUUCUGAAUGGAAGGGCCAUCGCUCAACGGAUAAAAGGUACUCCGGGGAUAACAGGCUGAUACCGCCCAAGAGUUCAUAUCGACGGCGGUGUUUGGCACCUCGAUGUCGGCUCAUCACAUCCUGGGGCUGAAGUAGGUCCCAAGGGUAUGGCUGUUCGCCAUUUAAAGUGGUACGCGAGCUGGGUUUAGAACGUCGUGAGACAGUUCGGUCCCUAUCUGCCGUGGGCGCUGGAGAACUGAGGGGGGCUGCUCCUAGUACGAGAGGACCGGAGUGGACGCAUCACUGGUGUUCGGGUUGUCAUGCCAAUGGCACUGCCCGGUAGCUAAAUGCGGAAGAGAUAAGUGCUGAAAGCAUCUAAGCACGAAACUUGCCCCGAGAUGAGUUCUCCCUGAGACUUUAAGUCUCCUGAAGGAACGU